rnacentral:rRNA from 1 species
AGAGUUUGAUCAUGGCUCAGGACGAACGCUGGCGGCGUGCCUAACACAUGCAAGUCGAACGGACGAGGCCCCUUCGGGGACCGAGUUAGUGGCGGACGGGUGAGUAACGCGUGAGCAACCUGCCUUUCAGAGGGGGACAACAGUUGGAAACGACUGCUAAUACCGCAUGAUGCAGCGAGAUCGCAUGGUCUUGCUGUCAAAGAUUUAUCGCUGAAAGAUGGGCUCGCGUCUGAUUAGCUAGUUGGAGGGGUAACGGCCCACCAAGGCGACGAUCAGUAGCCGGACUGAGAGGUUGAACGGCCACAUUGGGACUGAGAUACGGCCCAGACUCCUACGGGAGGCAGCAGUGGGGAAUAUUGGGCAAUGGGGGAAACCCUGACCCAGCAACGCCGCGUGAAGGAAGAAGGCUUUCGGGUUGUAAACUUCUUUUACCAGGGACGAAGAACGUGACGGUACCUGGAGAAAAAGCCACGGCUAACUACGUGCCAGCAGCCGCGGUAAUACGUAGGUGGCAAGCGUUGUCCGGAUUUACUGGGUGUAAAGGGCGUGUAGGCGGAGCUGCAAGUCAGAUGUGAAAUCUGGGGGCUUAACCCUCAAACUGCAUUUGAAACUGUAGCCCUUGAGUAUCGGAGAGGCAGGCGGAAUUCCUAGUGUAGCGGUGAAAUGCGUAGAUAUUAGGAAGAACACCAGUGGCGAAGGCGGCCUGCUGGACGACAACUGACGCUGAGGCGCGAAAGCGUGGGGAGCAAACAGGAUUAGAUACCCUGGUAGUCCACGCUGUAAACGAUGAAUACUAGGUGUGGGGGGACUGACCCCCUCCGUGCCGGAGUUAACACAAUAAGUAUUCCACCUGGGGAGUACGACCGCAAGGUUGAAACUCAAAGGAAUUGACGGGGGCCCGCACAAGCAGUGGAUUAUGUGGUUUAAUUCGACGCAACGCGAAGAACCUUACCGGGAUUUGACAUCCUACUAACGAAGCAGAGAUGCAUUAGGUGCCCUUCGGGGAAAGUAGAGACAGGUGGUGCAUGGUUGUCGUCAGCUCGUGUCGUGAGAUGUUGGGUUAAGUCCCGCAACGAGCGCAACCCCUAUUGUUAGUUGCUACGCAAGAGCACUCUAGCGAGACUGCCGUUGACAAAACGGAGGAAGGCGGGGACGACGUCAAAUCAUCAUGCCCCUUAUGUCCCGGGCUACACACGUAAUACAAUGGCGGUCAACAAAGGGAAGCAAAGCCGCGAGGCAGAGCAAACCCCCAAAAGCCGUCUCAGUUCGGAUUGCAGGCUGCAACUCGCCUGCAUGAAGCUGGAAUGGCUAGUAAUCGUGGAUCAGAAUGCCACGGUGAAUACGUUCCCGGGCCUUGUACACACCGCCCGUCACACCAUGAGAGUCGGGAACACCCGAAGUCCGUAGUCUAACCCGCAAGGGAGGGCGCGGCCGAAGGUGGGUCUGAUAAUUGGGGUGAAGUCGUAACAAGGUA